rnacentral:rRNA from 1 species
UACGUAGGGCGCAAGCGUUAUCCGGAAUUACUGGGCGUAAAGGGCGCGUAGGCGGCCUUCUAAGUCGAACGUGAAAUCCCCCGGGCUCAACCCGGGAACUGCGUCCGAUACUGGGAGGCUUGAAUCCGGGAGAGGGAUGUGGAAUUCCAGGUGUAGCGGUGAAAUGCGUAGAUAUCUGGAGGAACACCGGUGGCGAAGGCGGCAUCCUGGACCGGUAUUGACGCUGAGGCGCGAAAAGCCAGGGGAGCAAACGGG